rnacentral:rRNA from 1 species
UGCCAGCAGCCGCGGUAAUACGAAGGGCCCGAGCGUUAAUCGGAAUUACUGGGCGUAAAGCGCGCGUAGGCGGAUUAGUAAGUUAGGGGUGAAAUCCCGGGGCUCAACCCCGGAACUGCCUCUAAUACUGCUAGUCUUGAGUUCGAGAGAGGUGAGUGGAAUUCCGAGUGUAGAGGUGAAAUUCGUAGAUAUUGGAAAGAACACCAGUGGCGAAGGCGGCUUAAUGGCUUGAUAUUGACGCUGAGGUGCGAAAGCGUGGGGAGCAAACAGGAUUAGAUA